AAGUCGUAACAAGGUUUCCGUAGGUGAACCUGCGGAAGGAUCAUUACAAGAGCAAAGGAUAGACAGCGCCCGCGGAGCUCGCUCCCGGGGCUACCCUACUCCAGUAGGGUUUAGAGUCGUCGGGCCUCUCGAAGAAGCUUCGGUCCUGAACUCCACCCUUGAAUAAAUUACCUUCGUUGCUUUGGCGGGCCGCCUCGUGCCAGCGGCUUCGGCUGUUGAGUGCCCGCCAGAGGACCACAACUCUUGCUUUUAGUGAUGUCUGAGUACUAUAUAAUAGUUAAAACUUUCAACAACGGAUCUCUUGGUUCUG
rnacentral:misc_RNA from 1 species